rnacentral:lncRNA from 1 species
GUUUCUAGGCCUUUUGGAGAGUUCGGAUUGAAGCAACAUUUGCCUUAGCUAAUACAACAUCUAAGGUAUUGUUAUUAUUCUCACCUUUAUUUAUUAAAUAUAUUGAGCACAUGGUAGGUCCACCAAAAUGUAUGCAAAAUCUAUUCACCAGAGGUAUUCGCAUAAAGUGAAUUUUUGUGAGAGACUACUCUUCAACUGUGAAAACUACUUUGGUAGUUCUCAAACCCAUUACAAUUGAUUGGUGCUUGUGUUUUUCUAUUAGAAAGAUAUCUUCUGUAAAAUCUUUGUGAACUACAUUUUUGGAAAUGCAAAUGCUUUGUGUGGUGGUGAUUGUGCUUAUUUGCUUGGUCUUCUAGCAUUUCAGUGAAAUGAUUUAUUUUGACUUGUGCUUAUGACUAACUUGUUGACAGAGAAACUAGGCCAUUUAUGGAUGCACUGAUAUGAAUCCUAUAAUUUUUGUCUUAAUUGACAUGUUGAACGUUUUGGAAGAUAUUUUUUUUUAUUUGAUUUGUCACAUAUUGUGCUUUAUUAGUUGGAAAUGUUUUGGUUUGUGGACCAUGUUGCACUUAUCAGUUCUCAAUAUUGAUAUAUGAUAUAUACGCACUAUUGUACUGGAAAUUGAUUGAGUUGGUUUGCUCCAUCUGGUGAAAUUUUAUAAAAGUCGAAGGUUUGAUGAGAAUAUUGGACUCCCCAAGUGAGAAUCUAUCUAAGUUUGAAAUUGUUCUGAUAUCGUUGCUGCAGCACUUUGUUAACGUUUUUGUUUUCUGCUGAUCAUUCCAGGCCAAAUGAUAUCCGUGAUUUUUCAGAGUAUUUGUUCUUGAGGUAAUGCCUUGAGGUAAGGUAUGUAAUGAGUUGUGUGAAGUGGGAUGUGAUAAUAAUUUUGCCCUUGCUUCAUGUGAUGAAAUCGCACAUAAUUUGCCCUUGCUUUAUGUGAUGAAAUCUUUGGGUGGUUUGUUUAUUUAGUGUUUUUCUAUUUCUUUUUAUAUGCUAAUUUUCAUAGUUCUAGAGCAAGUCUUUCUCUAGUCAUUUUGAAAUCCUUCCACAUGCUGCUUCUUAGCCAAGAUUGUCUUGCCCUAAUGAACAAGUUAAAUGGAUUUGCGUUGCUUGGAGUCUCAGUGUAAUAUAUGUGUUUUAGAACUUAGAUUGAUAAACAAAUUUGAACAAAUACAGUGGAAGAAGAAUAAAGAGAAGAUUAAAAAAAAAGAGUAGAAAUAAAGAAAAGGAUGGUGAAACUUUAGGAGAAUAGGGGAAUCAAGAGAAGAGGAUAGAAUUUUGAUGGAUUUUAUUUAAUUAUGUAACGGAGGUUUUUUGUUGUUAGAUGUUGUGCGUUAAUUAAUUUGUAAUCUUGGAAAAAUACUUUAUCAUGAAUUGGGUUAAUUGUAAGUGGCCAAUACACUAAUAUAUAUUCUUCUAGUACUCAUCUAAAUGUAAUCUGUGUUUCAGGUGAUGUUGGUGGCUCUUGGGAAUUUACUAUCAGUGUUCUUUUUACGAAUUAAUUGUUUUUCUAAUGAUGGGGUAGUGAUUGAAUAUUGUAGAGAAUUUAUGAGCUAUUCUUACGGAUUUGAUUCACCAUGUAUUUUGAUGAUACUAUUUGUUGGAAGUUUCAAGUAAUUGAAAUUUUUAGUAUAUGGUGAUAUUUGGUAUUUGAU